CCUACGGGAGGCAGCAGUGAGGAAUAUUGGUCAAUGGUCGGGAGACUGAACCAGCCAAGCCGCGUGAGGGAUGAAGGUACAGAGUAUCGUAAACCUCUUUUGUCAGGGAACAAAGGCGGGGACGUGUCCCCGGAUGAGUGUACCUGACGAAAAAGCAUCGGCUAACUCCGUGCCAGCAGCCGCGGUAAUACGGAGGAUGCGAGCGUUAACCGGAUUUAUUGGGUUUAAAGGGUGGGCAGGCGGUCUGUUAAGUCAGCGGUGAAAGCCCCGGGCUUAAACCCGGCCCCGCGGUUGAUAUGGGCAGUCUCGAGUUGGAGAGAGGUAUGCGGAAUGCGCGGUGUAGCGGUGAAAUGCAUAGAUAUCGCGCAGAACUCCGAUUGCGAAGGCAGCAUGCCGGCUCCACACUGACGCUGAGGCACGAAAGCGUGGGUAUCGAACAGGAUUAGAUACCCGAGUAGUC
rnacentral:rRNA from 1 species